UGGGGAAUAUUGGACAAUGGGCGAAAGCCUGAUCCAGCCAUGCCGCGUGUGUGAAGAAGGUCUUCGGAUUGUAAAGCACUUUAAGUUGGGAGGAAGGUCAUUAACCUAAUACGUUAGUGUUUUGACGUUACCGACAGAAUAAGCACCGGCUAACUCUGUGCCAGCAGCCGCGGUAAUACAGAGGGUGCAAGCGUUAAUCGGAAUUACUGGGCGUAAAGCGCGCGUAGGUGGUUUGUUAAGUUGGAUGUGAAAUCCCCGGGCUCAACCUGGGAACUGCAUUCAAAACUGACUGACUAGAGUAUGGUAGAGGGUGGUGGAAUUUCCUGUGUAGCGGUGAAAUGCGUAGAUAUAGGAAGGAACACCAGUGGCGAAGGCGACCACCUGGACUAAUACUGACACUGAGGUGCGAAAGCGUGGGGAGCAAACA
rnacentral:rRNA from 1 species